rnacentral:rRNA from 1 species
GAUGAACGCUGGCGGCAUGCCUAACACAUGCAAGUCGAUCGGUAAGGCUCUUCGGAGUACACGAGAGGCGGACGGCUGAGUAACGCGUAGGAACACACCCUGCAGUGAGGGAUAAGACACCGAAAGGUGUUCUAAUACCGCAUACGGUCUUCGGAUUAAAGCAUUUAUGCGCUGAAGGAGUGGCCUGCGUCAUAUUAGAUAGUUGGUGAGGUAAUGGCUCACCAAGUCGAUGAUGUGUAGCUGGUCUGAGAGGAUGAUCAGCCAGACUGGAACUGAGACACGGUCAAGACUCCUACGGGAGGCAGCAGUGAGGAAUAUUUCACAAUGAGCGAAAGCUUGAUGGAGCAAUGCCGCGUGCAGGAUGAAGGCCCUCGGGUUGUAAACUGCUUUUAUAAGAGAAGAUUAUGACGGUAACUUAUGAAUAAGGGACGGCUAACUACGUG